UACGGAGGGGGCUAGCGUUGUUCGGAAUUACUGGGCGUAAGGCGCACGUAGGCGGUUUGGUAAGUUAGAGGUGAAAGCCUGGAGCUCAACUCCAGAAUUGCCUUUAAGACUGCCGAGCUAGCAGGUGAGAGAGGUGAGUGGAAUUCCGAGUGUAGAGGUGAAAUUCGUAGAUAUUCGGAAGAACACCAGUGGCGAAGGCGGCUCACUGGCUCAUACUGGACGCUGAGGUGCGAAAGCGUGGGGAGCAAACAGG
rnacentral:rRNA from 1 species